rnacentral:rRNA from 1 species
GAUGAACGCUGACAGAAUGCUUAACACAUGCAAGUCUUUGGCGAAGCUGCGCUUGCGCAGACGAGCCAAGGCGGACGGGUGAGUAACGCGUAAGGAACUUGCCCUGCAGACAGGGAUAACAGACGGAAACGACUGACAAGACCUGAUACAGUUGCCGGCACGCAUGUGCCUGGCGAUGAAAGGAGACGCUGCAGGAGAGCCUUGCGUCCUAUUAGCUUGUUGGCGGGGUAAUGGCCCACCAAGGCGAUGAUAGGUAGCCGGCCUGAGAGGGUGGACGGCCACAAGGGGACUGAGAUACGGCCCUUACUCCUACGGGAGGCAGCAGUGGGGAAUAUUGGACAAUGGGGGCAACCCUGAUCCAGCAAUUCUGUGUGCACGAAGAAGGUUUUCGGAUUGUAAAGUGCUUUCAGCAGGGAAGAAGAAAGGACGGUACCG